rfam:Daphnia magna strain Xinb3 scaffold01847, whole genome shotgun sequence.
UCUAAUGUGGCAGAUUAGUGCCUUAGAUUUAAGCUCUAAAAAUGAAAGUUAAAAUCUUUCCAUUAGAA